rnacentral:tRNA from 1 species
GCAGGAGCCGUGGCAGGGAAGCAGGUGGGCCGCCGCCGCAGAUUCGCGUGGAUGUACAAGCAAACACGCGUUCGCCCGAGCCCUGCCGAAGGCAGAGGCCACUGGUUCGAAUCCAGUCGGGUGCACCA